UUGAUCAUGGCUCAGAUUGAACGCUGGCGGCAGGCUUAACACAUGCAAGUCGAGCGGAGAGAGGUAGCUUGCUACUGAUCUUAGCGGCGGACGGGUGAGUAAUACUUAGGAAUCUGGCUAUUAGUGGGGGACAACAUUUCGAAAGGGAUGCUAAUACCGCAUACGUCCUACGGGAGAAAGCAGGGGAUCUUCGGACCUUGCGCUAAUAGAUGAGCCUAAGUCGGAUUAGCUAGUUGGUGGGGUAAAGGCCUACCAAGGCGACGAUCUGUAGCGGGUCUGAGAGGAUGAUCCGCCACACUGGGACUGAGACACGGCCCAGACUCCUACGGGAGGCAGCAGUGGGGAAUAUUGGACAAUGGGGGGAACCCUGAUCCAGCCAUGCCGCGUGUGUGAAGAAGGCCUUAUGGUUGUAAAGCACUUUAAGCGAGGAGGAGGGUACUGGUAUUAAUACUACCAGGUACUGGACGUUACUCGCAGAAUAAGCACCGGCUAACUCUGUGCCAGCAGCCGCGGUAAUACAGAGGGUGCGAGCGUUAAUCGGAUUUACUGGGCGUA
rnacentral:rRNA from 1 species